ACAUUAUGUUGAAUGUUUUAAGGAUUUCCUGGUAUCAGUAUGAAUCUUCUUAAGCAUUGAAAAGGUACGCUCACAGUCAGCAUUUGAAUUUGGAAUGGUACAAACUGCUGAUACAAUCUUUGUUAGAAGAGGAAACAUUGGUGUUCAAGUUAUUCAGUUGGUCAUCUUUGACACCUGUCUCCAGUACUGGUCUACUCGGGUUAAGUCUUGGAUGUAGGUUGGCCGUUCUGAUGCUGGAGUGACCUGGUAGGUUGUGAACUAUUUUUCAAGUUGUUGAUGUGGGUGCUCUGUUACAACUGAUGGUAAACGUCUA
rnacentral:lncRNA from 1 species